UUGUCUUGAAAACACAUAUAUUAAAAUUAUAAUGACACGAAAAGAUUAGGAUGGAUCCUGUCAAGGAAGACACAUAAACCUGUGAAGGGCUUCUUAUUUAA
rnacentral:snRNA from 1 species